ensembl:ncRNA ZK381.41 ncRNA
AAUUUUAUGUGCAAAUUCCGGAUUUUGGAAGAAGAAUCUGAAGUGCCGCUUUUCCUCGAAAUUUAGCGAAAUUGAAAUCAAAUCUCUUAUCCCGUUUAGCUAUCGGAGUGAGGAAGGCGGCAAAGAGUAACAUCAGAGUGACCUUCUCGAGAGUCGGUCACUUCAAAAAGCCCGCCGAGGUCUUGAUCUUCCGUGCGGUAAAUCCGCGCGGAAGGCAAUACGAGUGGCAUAUCCAUAUUCAUUAGAAAAUGUUGACGUAUCAGAUGUGAAAAGAUGAAUGAUUACGAUCUUACUUGUAAUUGACAUAGUCAUCAACUUUUAUGAACCAAGAGGGGAAUAUAAAAGAAAA